rnacentral:tRNA from 7 species
GGGCGGAUGGUGAAAUGGUAGACACGCUAGUCUUAGGAACUAGUGCCGCAAGGCAUGGAGGUUCAAGUCCUCUUCCGCCCACUA